AAAGAUCAUUGAAACCAAACUUCUUCAAAACUUGGAUUAGAAAACUCCACUCCAAAGUAUCAAAGGCUUUGGCUAUGUCCACUUUCAGAGCAACAUUCCCCCCAAAGGACUUUGUAUCCAGUAAGUUAAUGGCUUCAGAAGCUAUAAGAAUACAAUCAUUGAUGUUUCUGCCCUGAAUAAAUCCUCUUUGUUGUUUAGAGAUUAACUCAGGCAUGAUUUGAGCUAAUCUAUCUGCUAAAAUCUUGGAGAUAAUUUUAAAUUUAAAAUUGGCCAUAGAAAUUGGCCUGAACUGGUUCA
rnacentral:lncRNA from 1 species